rnacentral:rRNA from 1 species
GACGAACGCUGGCGGCGUGCUUAACACAUGCAAGUCGAACGGAAAGGCCCUGCUUUUGUGGGGUGCUCGAGUGGCGAACGUGUGAGUAACACGUGAGUAACCUGCCCUUGACUUUGGGAUAACUUCAGGAAACUGGGGCUAAUACCGGAUAGGAGCUCCUGCUGCAUGGUGGGGGUUGGAAAGUUUCGGCGGUUGGGGAUGGACUCGCGGCUUAUCAGCUUGUUGGUGGGGUAGUGGCUUACCAAGGCUUUGACGGGUAGCCGGCCUGAGAGGGUGACCGGCCACAUUGGGACUGAGAUACGGCCCAGACUCCUACGGGAGGCAGCAGUGGGGAAUAGUGCACAAUGGGCGGAAGCCUGAUGCAGCAACGCCGCGUGCGGGAUGACGGCCUUCGGGUUGUAAACCGCUUUCGCAUGUGACGAAGCGUGAGUGACGGUAAUGGGUAAAGAAGCACCGGCUAACUACGUG